GGAUGUGAGGGAGAUCUGGCUGCGAUACCUGUCACCCCAUUGAUCGCUAGGGUUAAUCCAUCUGAUCUGGCUGGCUAGGCGGGUGUCUCCUUCCUCCCUCACUGCUCCAUGUGCGUCCCUCCCAAAGUUGGGCGCUCGGUUGAAGAGGAUGACCCUCCCUGAUAGAGGCGGCAGCGUUCAUUGGUCAAGGGUACAUGGUAGCUGUGCUUCCCCCCGCUGCUAGAACCUUCAAACAAGCUGUGUGUGAUUUCAUUGAAACAGUUAUCUCACCUUUUCUUUUUUUCAAUUAGAAGAUUAAUAUA
rnacentral:snRNA from 1 species